UAUUAUUCUAAAUUUAAUUUGUACCUUAGGUUAGUAUUAGAUAUAUACUUAAAAACCAAAAAAUUUGGCGGUAAUUUAAUCUUUUCAGAGGAAUUUGCUUUUAAUCGAUAAUCCACGAAAUAUCUUACUUAUUUUUGUAGAAGAGUUUGUAUACCAUCAUUAUCAGAUAAUUUUAAUAAAAUUAAUUAUUAAGCUCAAUUUCAUUAUAAAAAUUAGAUCAUGGUGCAGCUUAUAAAUAAGUCAAAGUGAAUUACAAUAGAGUUUUCUAGAAUGGAGUAAUAAAUGAAUAUUUAUUGUGAAGGUGGAUUUGAUUGUAUUUUAAAUUUAAAAAGUUUAAAUGAGAUAAGUUCUAAAUUAUGUACAUAU
rnacentral:rRNA from 1 species